rnacentral:rRNA from 1 species
AAAGUUAGAGGUUCGAAGGCGAUCAGAUACCGCCCUAGUUCUAACCAUAAACGAUGCCAGCCAGCGAUCCGGCUGUGUUCCUCAAAUGACACGCCGGGCAGCUUCCGGGAAACCAAAGCUUUUGGGUUCCGGGGGAAGUAUGGUUGCAAAGCUGAAACUUAAAGGAAUUGACGGAAGGGCACCACCAGGAUUGGAGCUUGCGGUUUAAUUUGACUCAACACGGGACAACCUACCCGGCCCGGACACAGGAAGGAUUGACAGAUUAAGAGCUCUUUCUUGAUUCUGUGGGUGGUGGUGCAUGGCCGUUCUUAGUUGGUGGACUGAUUUGUCUGGUUAAUUCCGUUAACGAACGAGACUCUAGCCUACUAAAUAGACGUUCCGAUUAUUUAUUUUUCGGACGUUNUUCUUAGAGGGACAAUCGGCGCUUAGCCCGAUGAGACAGAGCAAUAACAGGUCUGUGAUGCCCUUUGAUGUCCGGGGCCACACGCGUGCUACAUUGAAGGAAUCAGCGUGUGCUUUCCCUGUCCGACAGGACUGGGUAACCCGUUGAACCUCCUUCGUGCUGGGGAUAGGGGCUUGUAAUUGUUCCCCUUGAACGAGGAAUUCCUAGUAAGCACGAAUCAUCAGUUCGUGUUGACUAAGUCCCUGCCCUUUGUCCACACCGCCCGUCGCUACUACCGAUUGAAUGAUUUAGUGAGGUCUUCGGACUGGCGCUCGGAGCGGCCUUCGGGUCGCGCCGGCGUGCCGGAAAGAUGACCAAACUUGGUCAUU